UAAAACUUCUUUGCAAUUUCAAAGUAGAUGUGAUUAAAUAGUCUCAUAUGACAGAUAUGGAAUUCGAUAUGAUCCGUGUCGAUGCAGCAAUUACCAAUGGUGUCCAAAGGAUCUGAUAGCUGAGUUGUGUCCAGUAUUCCAAUUGCCGCAGAUUCAAGGCUCUCUGAAUAUUUAUCCGAAAACGAUCAGGCAAUGUGACAUGUCUGAAAGUUGACCAACGUCGUUAAGAAAAUCGAGCUCGAAGCCCAUACGGUUAAGGGCACUGGUAUAAAAACAUGCAAAUUGGUCUUCAGUAGUAACUGCUUUGUAUCGAAUGCUUCCUGAGGUGAAAAGUUUACCACAAUCUAUUGUGCUCCCUAAUAUAUUUGCAAGAUACAAGCUUUGAGACUCUUCCCUUCAUGCAUUCCUAACUCCUUCCCUUCACUGAAGUAUAAAGCAAACACCUAGCAGAGAACUUGCUGUUUUUUCAAUCGCUAGAAGUGUGACUAAAGAUGGUCGGUAUCACUCAUGACUCAUAUAUGGUAUUUGGAGGGCUGGCGUUGCUCCACGAUCAAGCGUGGAAUAAAGCAAAACUUUUGAUUUUCAUUCGUUUUGCAUCUUUGUGUUUUUCUUCUGUUUAUUAUAG